UUGACCAGUAAUGAGUAUUCUGGGGUGUCUGAAUCAAUGAUUUUUGAUUAAACCCUGUAACUCUGAAGGCCAU
rnacentral:snoRNA from 1 species